GAUGAGCAUGCGUCCCAUUAGCUAGUUGGUAAGGUAACGGCUUACCAAGGCUACGAUGGGUAGGGGUCCUGAGAGGGAGAUCCCCCACACUGGUACUGAGACACGGACCAGACUCCUACGGGAGGCAGCAGUGAGGAAUAUUGGACAAUGGGCGCAAGCCUGAUCCAGCCAUGCCGCGCGCAGGAUGACGGUCCUAUGGAUUGUAAACUGCUUUUAUACGAGAAGAAACACUCCUUCGUGAAGGAGCUUGACGGUAUCGUAAGAAUAAGGAUCGGCUAACUCCGUGCCAGCAGCCGCG
rnacentral:rRNA from 1 species